GAUGAACGCUGGCGGCGUGCCUAAUACAUGCAAGUCGAGCGAACGGACGAGAAGCUUGCUUCUCUGAUGUUAGCGGCGGACGGGUGAGUAACACGUGGAUAACCUACCUAUAAGACUGGGAUAACUUCGGGAAACCGUAGCUAAUACCGGAUAAUAUUUUGAACCGCAUGGUUCAAAAGUGAAAGACGGUCUUGCUGUCACUUAUAGAUGGAUCCGCGCUGCAUUAGCUAGUUGGUAAGGUAACGGCUUACCAAGGCAACGAUGCAUAGCCGACCUGAGAGGGUGAUCGGCCACACUGGAACUGAGACACGGUCCAGACUCCUACGGGAGGCGGCAGUAGGGAAUCUUCCGCAAAGGGCGAAAGCCUGACGGAGCAACGCCGCGUGAGUGAUGAAGGUCUUCGGAUCGUAAAACUCUGUUAUUAGGGAAGAACAUAUGUGUAAGUAACUGUGCACAUCUUGACGGUACCUAAUCAGAAAGCCACGGCUAACUACGUG
rnacentral:rRNA from 1 species